UACAUUUACUUUUAUACUUUAAGUAGUUUUGAAACCAGUACUUUUACACUUUUACUUGAGUAAAAAGCUUGAAUUGAUACUUCAACUUCUACAGAAGUCUUUUGAAACCCUAGUAUCUACACUUCUGAGUAAUGAAUGUCAAUACUUCUGACACCUCUUCUGAAAUCUGUUUUGA